rnacentral:rRNA from 1 species
UUGGUGGGGUGAUGGCCUACCAAGGCAGUGACGGGUAGCCGGCCUGAGAGGGCGACCGGCCACACUGGGACUGAGACACGGCCCAGACUCCUACGGGAGGCAGCAGUGGGGAAUAUUGCGCAAUGGGCGGAAGCCUGACGCAGCGACGCCGCGUGAGGGAUGACGGUCUUCGGAUUGUAAACCUCUUUCACCCACGACGAAGCGAAAGUGACGGUAGUGGGAGAAGAAGCACCGGCCAACUACGUGCCAGCAGCCGCGGUAAUACGUAGGGUGCAAGCGUUGUCCGGAAUUAUUGGGCGUAAAGAGCUCGUAGGCGGCUUGUCACGUCGACUGUGAAAACCCGGGGCUCAACUCCGGGCCUGCAGUCGAUACGGGCUGGCUUGAGUGCGGUAGGGGAGACUGGAAUUCCUGGUGUAGCGGUGAAAUGCGCAGAUACCAGGAGGAACACCGGUGGCGAAGGCGGGUCUCUGGGCCGUAACUGACGCUGAGGAGCGAAAGCGUGGGGAGCGAACAGGAUUAGAUACCCUGGUAGUCCACGCCGUAAACGUUGGGCGCUAGGUGUGGGGACCUAUCCACGGUCUCCGUGCCGCAGCUAACGCAUUAAGCGCCCCGCCUGGGGAGUACGG